rnacentral:lncRNA from 1 species
AAGAGGUUGAGAAAAUAUUUUUGCAUUUUUUGAAUAUCAAAAGCUAUUUAAAAUGAAUUAAAAAUAACCAGAAAAGAGAAAAUUCACAAAAAAUAUCAAAUGACCAAAUAAAAAUAAUUAAAAAUCAGAAAUAGAAACUAGAAUUUAUUUGGAUACUAAUGCAAUUGGUCCCAUAAUUUUUGGAUUAAAAAUGAAAGAGAUAUGAUUUUUUGAAAUAAAAGGAAAUAAAGAAAA